UUUCACUGAAACAAGGGGAAAGCUCAAAUGGGGUGUUGGCCCCCGAGGCAGCAGUAAAGAAUUUUGUGCAAUAUACGAAAGUAAGACACAGAGAGGGCACCUUUUCUAGUCCGUCAAAUUAAGUGCCAGCAGACGCGGUGAAACUUAAGGGCUAGUCUUAUAGGCAAAAGCGUAAAGGGUGUGAUAGGCCGCCUUAUUUAAGAGAGUAAAUGGAAUUUUUCUGUAAUGGUGGUAUGUGUAAAUAGGAAAAAGAACUUUAGACGUGAAGACUAUUUACUUCUAAGAUUAUAAUGUGUUGGCUAAAACACGAGAGUGUGGGGAGCAAACAGGAUUAGGUACCCUGGUAGUCCAUACUGUAAAUAAUGAAAAAGAUGUGAAGCAAUUCUAAAAGGUAAGAACUUUUCCGCUUGAGUAGUACGAUCGCAAGAUUAAAAUUCAAAAAACUUGGCUGUUCACUGUUUUGAUUAGAGGAGCGUGUCGUUUAAUUCGAUAGUCCGCGAGAGACCUUACCCAAACUUGAAUCCCUCAUUGACAGGUAUUGCAUGGCCGUCGUCAAUUUGUGUAUUAAACAUAAAACAAAUUCAACCCAGUGGUUUGUCUAUUGGAUGAAGUCAGGUCUUAUUGUCCUAAUGUUUGGGGAUUAGAUGCGCUACAUUUUUUUAUACAAUGGGAAACUUUGAAUGUGAAACCCAAAAAUAAGAGUUCGGAAGGUGUCUGGAAUAUAACGGAAAGUUGGAUUUAAUAGUAAUUGAAAAGUAGAGCGUUUCAAUGAAAUUUAUUCAGUGUUAGUACAAAUUGCCCGUCGCCUUUGCUUAGAAAGGUUGUUUGGUUGCCCCUCAAGAGGGUUCCUAAUAUCUUCGAGGUAGAGUAAGUCGUAACA
rnacentral:rRNA from 1 species